AGCGGAUUCAAACGGGGCCACAGAGCCGCGCGGCGGCUCGGGCGCAUCGAUGCCGCGACUCUAAACUGCUAUGGCGACGCAGUGAAAGUCUAACAUCUGCACGGCAUCCCGAGCGAUCACCCGACGCUGGUGAAAUGGCUGCACAUACUUCCAGUCAUUGUGAGGAGGAGGAACCCUUUGGCGUUCAUUGAACACAAACCCUCAUGGAUGACUAAUCAGUAAAUGUUUCAUGAUGUGGCCUCCUGAGAUGCUUUUUCAGCUGUUGUCCUGAACAAGGUCCCACAUAUACGCUCAACACAGAUUGGCUACUUUUCCUUCACCUUCUGGUGGUUUGGUGUGUACGAACUAAUGACUGACACCGUAGGGUAAGUGUUCUUGCUGGAAUAAUCUGACAAUUGUAUUACCAUAACAGUUACUCUUUUCUUUUAUCAUCGAGCCUAUAAUUUAUUUAUUGAUGAUUAUAUUUGAUGUGAUGAAAUGAUUUUAUCCAUUUGCUCAUAUAUCAGAACGGGUUUAUAGGGAAUCUGGGGCCUGGACUGAUGGUACAAAGCAGCGGACAGUGCUGGGAGGAACAUCAGUCUGUCUCAGGAUGCACAUGUCAGAGAACUGAGAGGCAUUUCACGUAAACUACCAAGUUAAAAUUGAUUUUAGAGUUAUGAUCACAUCAGGUCAGUGAAUUUUUAUAGCGCCCUGAGUCACCCCAGGGCACUUCAGAUGACAUCAUCUAUACAAAAUGCUGUAUGGAACUGGGAAAAAGGGGAAGGGGGAAAGACAGAAUUCCACAGUGAAGGUGAGGAACCACAAGCUGCUGUGUAGAGAGAGAAAAAAUCCUUGGUGCAGUCAAAAGCUGCUCAAAAAUGCACUUCCUCACUUUAAAUCACUCUUUGCA